ACUCCUACGGGAGGCAGCAGUGGGGAAUAUUGCACAAUGGGCGCAAGCCUGAUGCAGCCAUGCCGCGUGUAUGAAGAAGGCCUUCGGGUUGUAAAGUACUUUCAGCAGUGAGGAAGGUGGGUAUGUUAAUAGCAUAUUCAUUUGACGUUAGCUGCAGAAGAAGCACCGGCUAACUCCGUGCCAGCAGCCGCGGUAAUACGGAGGGUGCGAGCGUUAAUCGGAAUUACUGGGCGUAAAGCGCAUGCAGGUGGUUUGUUAAGUCAGAUGUGAAAGCCCGGGGCUCAACCUCGGAAUUGCAUUUGAAACUGGCAAACUAGAGUACUGUAGAGGGGGGUAGAAUUUCAGGUGUAGCGGUGAAAUGCGUAGAGAUCUGAAGGAAUACCGGUGGCGAAGGCGCCCCCCUGGACAGAUACUGACACUCAGAUGCGAAAGCUGGGGAGCAAACAGGAUUAGAUACCCUGGUAGCGUAG
rnacentral:rRNA from 1 species